UCCAGGAAGGGCUCCCUUCCUCUAGAGCCCUGAACAGCUUGGAUCCCUCUCACCACCGACUUAGCCCAGUCGCCAGAUCCCUCCAUUAUCCCCAACAGCCCCAGUUUCAAGGUUUCGCCUCAUCAGGUCGUCCCGUAAGGUCCAGCGUUGCAGCACGGGAAGCCCUCUCGGGGGCCCCCACAUGGAGCCCGCAUGCCCUAGCUCUUCCUUCCCCAACCGCUGAAACGAUGGUGACGAGGCAGAGGAGAAUAAUGCCACGGCCGAGAUUGCGGCGGACGUACAGAAAAACCCCAGGCGAGAGGAUUUUCUUGGGACAGAGAGCAGGGCUGAGAGGAGGCACGGAGAACAUGCAGAGAAGGUCUGCAAGGAGCAUGGGGGCUGACCUUGGUGGCCACCCCGCAGGUGCUCUGGGCUCGGGGCUCCGGCAGGGCACGUCAGUUCUCCGUACAGAAGUCAUCUGACGAUGCUCCCCAAACUGGCGAACGCCCCUCGAGGAAACGACAGCAAAAACGAACACUCUCGUCCAUAAUCCUACUGCAGACAGAGCGCUGAUGUCAACAUGGGGAGUCGACAUUAGCCUUCGAGUUUUCGGUGUCUGCAAAUGUGUUAACCGGAGGGCGGCAAAACCGCGUAUGCUUUUCGCAGCCUGCUUUCCGCCACUUGACAAGAUACCAUAACCACGUGAAACCAGUUCUCCCGACAUUAUUUUUGAAAUCAUCAUCUCCUCUCAUCUUGCUGUCUCUUGAGCUUGUUGUUGUUCUGAAUCGUCCAUUCAGUUACAUGGUGGUGCCUCACUAUGUAAACGUUCUCGCUUAAUAAAGAAUUGGGCUAAUU